UUGUAAAGCACUUUAAGCGAGGAGGAGGCUACUUUAGUUAAUACCUAGAGAUAGUGGACGUUACUCGCAGAAUAAGCACCGGCUAACUCUGUGCCAGCAGCCGCGGUAAUACAGAGGGUGCAAGCGUUAAUCGGAUUUACUGGGCGUAAAGCGCGCGUAGGCGGCUAAUUAAGUCAAAUGUGAAAUCCCCGAGCUUAACUUGGGAAUUGCAUUCGAUACUGGUUAGCUAGAGUGUGGGAGAGGAUGGUAGAAUUCCAGGUGUAGCGGUGAAAUGCGUAGAGAUCUGGAGGAAUACCGAUGGCGAAGGCAGCCAUCUGGCCUAACACUGACGCUGAGGUGCGAAAGCAUGGGGAGCAAACAGGAUUAGAUACCCUGGUAGUCCAUGCCGUAAACGAUGUCUACUAGCCGUUGGGGCCUUUGAGGCUUUAGUGGCGCAGCUAACGCGAUAAGUAGACCGCCUGGGGAGUACGGUCGCAAGACUAAAACUCAAAUGAAUUGACGGGGGCCCGCACAAGCGGUGGAGCAUGUGGUUUAAUUCGAUGCAACGCGAAGAACCUUACCUGGCCUUGACAUAGUAAGAACUUUCCAGAGAUGGAUUGGUGCCUUCGGGAACUUACAUACAGGUGCUGCAUGGCUGUCGUCAGCUCGUGUCGUGAGAUGUUGGGUUAAGUCCCGCAACGAGCGCAACCCUUUUCCUUAUUUGCCAGCGAGUAAUGUCGGGAACUUUAAGGAUACUGCCAGUGACAAACUGGAGGAAGGCGGGGACGACGUCAAGUCAUCAUGGCCCUUACGGCCAGGGCUACACACGUGCUACAAUGGUCGGUACAAAGGGUUGCUACCUAGCGAUAGGAUGCUAAUCUCAAAAAGCCGAUCGUAGUCCGGAUUGGAGUCUGCAACUCGACUCCAUGAAGUCGGAAUCGCUAGUAAUCGCGGAUCAGAAUGCCGCGGUGAAUACGUUCCCGGGCCUUGUACACACCGCCCGUCACACCAUGGGAGUUUGUUGCACCAGAAGUAGCUAGCCUAACUGCAAAGAGGGCGG
rnacentral:rRNA from 1 species